UCACAACUCCAUCUAAAUUAAAUGGUAUUAAUCAUUGGCCCAACCUGUAUUGCACACAUGAGCAGCUGUACAAUGUAAGUUAACGACUUUGACCCUACGGCAUGUCAACCGAGGGUUCGACGCCAAUAUGAUGUCAUUUUUUACUGCUUUUACACUUAUACACCUAUCUGAGGGCAUUAACCUGCAUGUCUGCGGAAGAGACUCCCUAAAAUGCUGAGGAAUGUGAAGCUUUUUUGUAAAAAUAUUAUCUACAAGUAGACAAGUUGUUUUUGUUGCUCUGCAAAACUGAAUGUGCGAGUGAUUAUCACAAAAGUGUCCUGUGCUUUAGUAGGCUACUGGGCUGUUUCAAAAGAGAUGGCCGACAACGACAUCUGCAGACUGCUGGCAUGAAUGCAACCGGCCAAAUCCAAAUGCUUGUUUCACCUGAGGUGCAAUAUGCUACACACUGACACCUACAGCUUGUCAGCUUGUCUUUGUGCCUACAUCAUUAAAUGGAGGAAGUACCUAGGGCCUUUAGAAAGAGGGGGAGAGCCCCAACCCCGUCACCCAAGGGCCAUGCGUGGUUGUGUCCCUAUACAGGGGCCCAAUGAGACCACCAGAAGAAGCCUGCACACAAGGAGAGACGGACAAACAAGGCCCUGGGCAGCCUCACUAUUACGAGAGAGGGAGUCUCGGGGUAUGGUGGUAUGGUCAGGGAUUUAACAGGGUGUUUUAAGUGCCAUUUUGUGUUUUCAUCAAACAGUUUAGCUUUGUUUACACGCUUUUUAUUUUUUAUUUUAUUUUUUACAAAUCCAUCAUAAUCAAUUUGACAACAGUACAAAAUAAUGGAGUGACCCUGCAUGGAGCAGGGGGGGGGGGGGGGGCAGGGGUUGGGCUCGUCUUCAUUUUGUGUUCUAAAAUGUAGAUUUACAUUUUAUGCAUACUACACACACACAGGCUUGAGGCACGCAGGCAUUUCAGAAACAUGAGGAAUUCUAGAUUGUACAAUUAUGAGAGGCUUGAGCUGGUGAACAUCCAGAAGUCAUUGAGGAACUUGGACGGGAAGCGCUUUUGGAUGUUUAUUAGAUUUAUUUGAAAAAGUACCAUUUCAGAUACAGGAAUACCUGGGAAGAGGAGGGAACGCUGCCCCUCUCUGGAGCGAGCCUUUACAUCCAUCGAAGGGAGGAGAGUGGAGACAGUUGGAGAGGAGGGGCCAAGCUCAGCCUCACCUGAACGACCACCCACGUCUUUCAAAGCAAGGAAACUCGUUUUCACUUCAUGGGUCAAAUAAUGUAUAAUGCUUUGUAUUUUGACAUUUUCCGAACUUUCCUUUACCUUCCCAGCAACAGAUGGUAGAAGAGGUCACUCCAGUUGAGAAACCCUUGGCUUUUUUUCAGGAUUUACCAACGGAGAUUACGGAGGUCAUUCUGGGCCGCCUCUCAGUGCGUGAUGCGCGUGAUGUCAGUGGGGGCGACCUGAGGCAGAUACAACCGGCCGAGUCACAGUCCCUGGGUCUGGAUGAGAUUCUGCUGCAGCGUGCCAGACCUCUACCAGCCCAGAGACUGGCAGCGCCUUGCCAUACUUAAACGUGGCGGUGUCGCUGAGGCCUGUGGCUGUGUGCUGUAGGCUCCGCCGCACUCUGCUCCUGCUUCAGGACGAGUCCGACGCUAAGGAGCUCCGGAGGCCGCCCUCCUGG